rnacentral:rRNA from 1 species
ACGCUCGACACCUACGGGAGGCAGCAGUAGGGAAUUUUCGGCAAUGGGGGGGAACCCUGACCGAGCAACGCCGCGUGAAGGAAGAAGGAAUUCGUUCUGUAAACUUCUGUUAUAAAGGAAGAACGGCGGAUAUAGGGAAUGAUAUCCGAGUGACGGUACUUUAUGAGAAAGCCACGGCUAACUACGUGCCAACAGCCGCGGUAAUCUGAGCGGGCUGGCAAGGC